AGAGUUUGAUCCUGGCUCAGAAUGAACGCUGGCGGCGUGCUUAACACAUGCAAGUCGAACGAGAAAGCCGAAAGCUUGCUUUUGGCGAGUAAAGUGGCGCACGGGUGAGUAACGCGUGGGUAAUCUACCUUUGAAUUUGGGAUAACACUUCGAAAGGAGUGCUAAUACCGGAUAAUAUCUUUUUCAUUGCGGUGGGAAAGAUCAAAGAUGGCCUCUUCUUGAAAGCUAUUGUUUGAAGAUGAGCCCGCGUACCAUUAGCUUGUUGGUGGGGUAAUGGCCUACCAAGGCGACGAUGGUUAGCUGGUCUGAGAGGAUGAUCAGCCACACUGGAACUGGAACACGGUCCAGACUCCUACAGGAGGCAGCAGUGAGGAAUUUUGCGCAAUGGGGGAAACCCUGACGCAGCAACGCCGCGUGAGUGAUGAAGGCUUUCGGGUCGUAAAGCUCUGUCAAGUGGGAAGAAGUUGUGUAUGGCUAAUAUCUGUGCACAUUGACGGUACCACUGAAGGAAGCACCGGCUAACUCCGUGCCAGCAUCCGCGGU
rnacentral:rRNA from 1 species